UCGUAAGCAAGAAAAUAAAAGAUUAAAGGAGCGAGAGGUUUUGGGGUGGUUUAGACAAGAGGGGGCUAAAUUGAGGCAGAAGCUUGUGGAAAACAAAAGUGAGUCAUCAAAAGGGAAAAAUGAGAUUUCUGAAUCAUCACAGGUGUAUCCGUCGGCCCCUUUGUGGCCAGAGAGGCCUCCACCACACGCACACACAAAUCAACAUUCACAAGCGGGGCAGUAUCCUCUGAGACACAUGUCCUCUGAGCAAGCUGUAAUUAGUGAUGGCACACAAGAUGUGGACUGUGAAUUAACAGGAAGACUCACUGUCACCCUAAAGGAUAAGCGCAAUGGUGUUGGAGGAGAGAAUUGGAGACAUGAUGGAGAAGAAAGCGAGUGCUCCACUGGCACCUGUUAUUCUGAUGAAGUUGAACCUUGGUAUAGGACAGAGCUGAGUCGCAAUGAGGCCACAUCUCUACCUGGGAAUAAAACUGCAGCAGAGUCAGCAGCACCUCAGACUCAGGAAAUGCUGCACCCCCUAACCAAAAGAGAUAAGCUACACAAAAUGCACCAACAAAGCGAACAGGUUUCACAUCGGAAAGAGUUAAACACUACAGUUCUGCUAGAAGAGACACUUGUACGGCUGGAUCAGCUGAUAAAUAGACAUUCACAGGGAUUAAGGGAUCAGGAGAAAACAAAGCAUGUGAAGCAUCACACCUUUGAGGCCCCUGUACCAGGACAGACAGGGCCCACAAUCAGGAGAAUAGAACUGGUGGGAACAAUAACAGAUAAUCCUCCCAGAGGAAUGGAGGCAGCCGCAUCUGCUUGUUUCUCACCUUAUGAUACUGUUUCAAGUCAGCCUUUGUUAACAGAUAUCACAGGCCUACAAGACGCCAUUUCCAGGGGUCAGCCGGUGGAAAGGAGAGAGAACGAAGGCCAUGUGAGGGAGGAUGACAGAGGAAUGCGGCUGCGGAGUGGAAAGAUGGUGCACAGAGCAAGCAGUCUGCCACAUGAUUUCCAAAGUCACAAGGAUUCGGAAGCAGCAUGGCUGGAGCAGGGGAGUGAUGAGGGGUAUGGAGCCCCUAUGUGCCCUAUCAUGAAGAAAGGAGGGGUCUCAACAUAUGUGCCGUGGUCAUUCAUGGACAUGGUGGGACUGGCUGAGAGACUGCCUGACCUUUCACAAGGGGCGGGCAAAUGGAUAACAGCACUCGAGGAAAGUACAGCUGGAGUGACCCUGGCCUUGGGAGAUAUUAAAGCCCUCCUAAUGAAGGUAGUCGGCAAGCACGCAACAGUAAACAUCUUUGAAAAUGCUAAACUGGGUCGAGUUUGCCAAAGCAAUCUGCUGGAUGAUGUAAAUAUGGGGAUGCAUCGUACUGUGUUGUGGGAGGCGCUGAGGAAACAAUAUCCUGAUGAUGGAGACCCCUCUAGUUUAGAGGGGGAGGUUUUGAAGGAUGAGGAGUGUCCCUCUAAGUGGCUGCAUGCUUUUCAGCGCAAAUGGAAGGAUGAGACGGGAAGUGCCUGGAAUGCCAAUAAAUCUACAGAGGCCUUAUUCAAAAGUAUGGUGAAAAAGGGAUUGCCUGCUCCAGUGCAGCAAAAAUUAGAGCAAGUGGUGGGCCUGAGUAAGAUGGACUGGCCACUGUUUGUGGAGCAUAUAGUACAUCAUGUGAAUUAUCACAGAAAAGAGAAACAACGAGAGGAAGAGACCAAUAAACACCUGACUAAUAAAUUAACACAGCUACAGUUGGGAGAGCUGACAAAAAACAAAAAGGAGAAAACUAAAACACAGGCCCCGCUGAUAACCACACUAACUGAGACACAAGCCCCAGUGAUAGCAGCUACUCCAUCUCAGAACUAUGCCACGCCUCCCCCACAGGCUCAGACAGUUUUCCAGCCUGCUGCCUCAUCAGCACAUACACACAUCAGUAACUCUCCUGCUCAAACUGGGCCUGCCCUGCCUGCUAUACAUGUGUACGUGAAUCAGGGUGAAAACUCAUACCCACAGGGUCGUGGACGAGGCAGGGAGGCGAUGAGAGGAGGAUUGAUAAGGAGAGGACGAGGGAGAGGAGGACAAUUACCAACAUUUAGGCUCACCCAGCCUAACCCGCAGCAGAGCAAUGUGCCUAAAGGAGACAUCAUAUGUUGGAGCUGUAACCAGCCUAGACAUUUGCAAUGGGAUUGCCCUGUUAAUCCUUGGACAGGGCCCUCAGCAAACUGGUUAUAGGGGUGUCCGGAGGAGCCUGAGGGGGAGAUGGAGCUACCUGUGGUGUCAUUAAAUUCAUCAAAUGAGCCCAUCAUACCUGUAGAAAUACAGGGACACGAAUAUUCAUUUAUGGUGGACACAGGCGCGACCUAUUCAUGUAUUGGAACUGAAGGUGCUGGGCUCCCCCUCUCUACAGCAUCAGUUAAGACAGUAGGCUUCUCUGGAAAAACACAAGUUAUACCCCUCACCCAGCCAGUUCCAAUGAUGGUAUCAGGAAAAUCAAUUGUUGCACCGUUGUUGUAUUCAGCCGACACCCCAAUCAAUCUUAUGGGAAGAGAUAUUUUGUGCCCUCUAAAAGCAAAAAUAAUGUGCACCCCUGAUGGACUGUAUGUGGAUUUUCCACAGGAAGAAAUACAUAGAAUGAUGCCAACUCAAACUGAAAAAGAGGUUGAACGUCUGAUGCAGCCUCUAGUCUAUUGGCUGCAGCUAACACCUGAAGAAUCCAUGCUGAAGCAGGAAUGGACAAAGUGGAAAGUCUGGGUGCAGACACAGAUGGGUGAAGUGGAGGAAGUCCGGCUGCCGUUACAUUGCACAUUGCUCUUCGACGGAAAUCACCGCUUUAAGGAUUAUGAAGCCUGCUGGGAUGAACUGCUUAAUAAAAAGCCAUUUCUCAUAACUAGUGAAGACAUUUACAUUGGCCCACAAGGAGCGGCAGCAGCAGUAACCCUCCCUGAUGAAUUAAAAGACUGGUUUCAAGUGCAAAACUCUGUGCCGCAUAUCACUCUUUUGAUUGCUCAGGGACAUGAAUCUCAUGAGUUGGGGCCUAUGAUAAAGCAGGCUCUGCAGGUGAAAGGAGCCACAGCGGACCGAGACGCAGAGAUUCCUGACCAUCUGCUGACCAUACGGCCAGGCGACCAGGUGUACUUGAAAGUGAUUAAGAGAAGGUGGGACCAACCUAGAAGGGAAGGCCCGUACACAGUUAUCCUAGCAACUCCAACAGCUGUUAAAGUUGCAGAUACUGAUCGCCAAGACCUUGAAGGCAGUGACGCAGUUUCCUGUUCGGAUAGACCAAAGUGUGGAUUUCACAGUAGCAGUGGAAUCGUCUCCUCGGGAGCCUCAGCAAGGACCAGAUUAUGCUGAUAUGUCUCAUUAUGAAUCAUUUGAUGACUUGUUAGCUUAUAUUGCCAUGGGGAGUGGAUGCGUAGAUGAAAAUGGCCCAGUUGAGGAACCGCCUUAUGGGGUUCCCUCUAACAUCCCUGCACAGGGUGUGGGUUGUGAUGUCUUCACCCCUUCCAGAGUGACACCGUAGUAAAAAUUAAAGAAAUUAAGUAAAAAGUAAAAAACAUUAAAAAAAAAAAAAAAAAGAGUAAAAAUAAAAAGUAUGUAAUCAAUGAAUACUGAUUAGUUAAAAAAAAAGAGUAUAGUAACUGGGACGAGAACAUUUAUGUGUGGGACGUGUCUAAUUUUGUGCUUUAUGUUACAUAGAUAAACAGUAAUGGCAGAAUCAGGAGUGAAGAUAGAGUAUUCAGACAGCCCUACUAGGCCUGGGACCAGUCAGUCACUGGAGAGACCCUUGUGGCGCCCAUCCGCAGCCAACCAGCCAGAGGUCCCGCCCGACAUCAAAGUGGGGAAGUUUUGGCUUCAGCGGUUGGCAUCCAUUCAUCCUGCAUCCGCCCAGGGGGGGCAGCCAGAGCCACAGAGGGCACCUCUCUGGACCCUAGUUCCAGAGCCACGCGCGCCUACAUCACCGAUGACACCACCACAGUCUCCUGUCUAUUCUGGAUCCUCAACACCACCUACUCCCAGGGCCCUAACGCCAAUUCCAGAGUCUCAGAGGUCACCCAGACCGGGGCCAAGCCACUCUCAGAGCCCAUACAGACCUCCGAUCGUCGACCUUCUGUCAUUAAGCCCCGUGUCCACUGCCAGCAUGACCUAUGAGCAUUCCGGACGUGAUGAAGGGUCUACACGUUCUAACACCCCUGUCCAGGGAAGUGCAGCUGAGUCUACAGUGACAGCGUGGGGAGAUGUUGCUGAUUCCACUGUGCAAGAACACCUUAUGCAACUCCCCAAGCCUGAAUUCCAAAGAGAAAUUCGAAAGCUGCCUACAAGCUGGGCCCAGGAGAUCAAAAGGAAAAGAAAUAAUUACAAUGCCCGCUGUCAGUAUGCUCAACGCAAGCAGAUGUAUGCAACCGCCCUGCAGACCACAGAGCACUAUGCCCAUCAUCUCAUUCGCCAAAACGAUGCGUGGGAGCGGGCUUGGGAGAGGAGCACCCACGAGUUGGGUGAGGUGAGAGUUGAGAAUGCCCGCUACACUGAGAGGAAUGCUGAUCUGAUGCGAGAGGUGGCUGAACUACAAAAGCAAGUGAAAGGUCAGGAAGAUCAUUCCAACUUCAUCACUCGCAAGUUGUCUGAAGCCCUUCACACCAUUGGAGCCCAGAGUAAAGAGAUCCAGAGACUCACUGCUGAAAAUGUCAGGCUUCAUGUGGUCAAUGACCAACUCAUGGCUAAUAAGGGAGUUGGUGGAGAAAGUGCUCCUGCACGCCAAUCAGUGGGUGGGGAGUAAGGCCAUGAAAGGACUGAAGGUCUGGCUUGAAUGAUGCCAUAUACUGUGAUUAUGCAUAAUAUGUAACCUGAAAUAUAUAUUCAUUUCAUGUGUCUUACUUAUACAUCCUAUGCCUUAAUUAGCAGUUAACAUAUAUCUAUUAGUUGAUCUUUCUUAUUUUGAGUUCUAUCAUAAUUGAUGACAAUCACAGUGUGUUAUGCAAGGUGCUCUGCAAUUGUGGAUGAACAAUACUAUGGCCAUGGCAGGUUGGAUUUUGUGUGUUUCAUGUCGCCUUUGCUUAGCACCUGCUGUUGAUUAUCUUGUCUACUCAUUAAACUAUGUAAGGAGCUUGCUUUAAAGUAUAUUAGCAAAAAAACAGCACAUGCCGUAGUUAGAUAUUCACCAUUUUUGUUUUUCAUAUUAUGGGGUUUUUAGGUGGUACCUCCAGGUACCACAGGGGGGAAUGUAGUGGAUUUUUGUAUGACAUGUAUACUUAUAAAUCUAACAUGAUGGAUUUUUGUACUUAUAUAUCGAUCUGAAUAACUUUCAUGUGGAGUUUGAGGCAUGCAGUGGUUCUCUCACACACACACACACACACACACACACACACACCCACAAGUCAUGCAGCACACUCAUGAGGCAUAUCUUCACUGUCCUGUACACACACACACCCACUAUAAACCUACACUGGAGUGUUUAUUUUUAUGUAAUGCAUUUAACUCAUAUAUUUGAUGUAGUUAGGCCAAGUAUUAUUCACAUUAAUAUCAUAAUUAUCUUUUAUAAACUAUGCUAUUUGCUGUACUAAUGUGUGACCUUUGACCAUGUUGUGACCUAUUGUCAGAGGGUAAAGCAAAGGGUUAACCUAGGGGUGUCACUUUGGACCGGGCGUUCAGCCAGUGCCAGGUGUGAACUCUGGCCGGCAUUUGACCCUGCACCUGCUCCUGGGUGCGUGGGAAAGUUACUCAGCAGCAGGAGGUGGGACUACUGGUACCUUUAAAAGGGGGCCGGGGACAGCCCUCUGGGCUUUUUCCUGCUGUCUGUCCGUGGGGUUGGUCCCUACCUGCAUGCGCUUACUGCGAACACCCUAGGGGAGCUUUGCUUUUCCUUCUGUUUUGCUGAGCUACACUGUUCAAUAAAACAGCUGGCAUAGAA